ACUGCUCAACAGAAAGCUCCAGACAGAGCAAUCAGACAGAGGCUUUGAAUCUGACUGGACUUGAGACAGCAGUCAGGAGUACAGGUCAUCAAUACGCUCUGUGUGUAAUGUGUGUCGUGAGGAGGUCAUCAAUACGCUCUGUGUGUAAUGUGUGUCGUGAGGAGGUCAUCAAUACGCUCUGUGUGUAGUGUCGUGAGGAGAUCAUCAAUACGCUCUGUGUGUAGUGUAGUGUCGUGAGGAGGUCAUCAAUACGCUCAGUGUGUAGUGUGUGUCGUGAGGAGUUCAUCAAUAUGCUCGGUGUGUAAUGUGUGUCGUGAGGAGGUCAUCAAUAUGCUCGGUGUGUAAUGUGUGUCGUGAGGAGGUCAUCAUUAUGCUCGGUGUGUAGUGUGUCGUGAGGAGGUCAUCAAUACGCUCAGUGUGUAAUGUGUGUCGUGAGGAGGUCAUCAAUACGCUCUGUGUGUAAUGUAGUGUGUGUCGUGAGGAGGUCAUCAAUACGCUCUGUGUGUAAUGUAGUGUGUGUCGUGAGGAGGUCAUCAAUACGCUCUGUGUGUAAUGUAGUGUGUGUCGUGAGGAGGUCAUCAAUACGCUCGUGUGUAAUGUAGUGUGUGUCGUGAGGAGGUCAUCAAUAUGCUCUGUGUGUAGUGUGUGUCGUGAGGAGGUCAUCAAUACGUUCUGUGUGUAGUGUGUGUCGUGAGGAGGUCAUCAAUACGCUCUGUGUGUAAUGUAGUGUGUGUCGUGAGGAGGUCAUCAAUACGCUCUGUGUGUAAUGUAGUGUGUGUUGUGAGGAGGUCAUCAAUACGCUCUGUAUGUAAUGUAGUGUGUGUCGUGAGGAGGGCAUCAAUCCGCUCUGUGUGUAAUGUAGUGUCGUGAAGAGGUCAUCAUUAUGCUCGUUGUGUAAUGUGUGUCGUGAGGAGGUCAUCAUUAUGCUCGGUGUGUAAUGUGUGUUGUGAGGUCAUCAAUACGCUCUGUGUGUAAUGUAGUGUGUGUCGUGAGGAGGUCAUCAAUACGCUCUGUGUGUAAUGUAGUGUGUGUCGUGAGGAGGUCAUCAAUAUGCUCGGUGUGUAGUGUGUGUCGUGCGGAGGUCAUCAAUACGCUCUGUGUGUAGUGUGUGUCGUGAGGAGGUCAUCAAUACGCUCUGUGUGUAAUGUAGUGUGUGUCGUGAGGAGGUCAUCAAUAUGCACGGUGUGUAGUGUAGUGUGUGUCGUGAGGAGGUCAUCAAUAUGCUCGGUGUGUAAUGUGUGUCGUGAGGAGGUCAUCAUUAUGCUCGGUGUGUAAUGUGUGUCGUGAGGAGGUCAUCAAUACGCUCAGUGUGUAAUGUGUGUCGUGAGGAGGUCAUCAAUACGCUCUGUGUGUAAUGUGUGUCGUGAGGAGGUCAUCAAUACGCUCUGUGUGUAAUGUAGUGUGUGUCGUGAGGAGGUCAUCAUUAUGCUCGGUGUGUAAUGUGUGUCGUGAGGAGGUCAUCAAUACGCUCAGUGUGUAAUGUGUGUCGUGAGGAGGUCAUCAAUACGCUCUGUGUGUAAUGUAGUGUGUGUCGUGAGGAGGUCAUCAAUACGCUCUGUGUGUAAUGUAGUGUGUGUCGUGAGGAGGUCAUCAAUAUGCUCGGUGUGUAGUGUGUGUCGUGAGGAGGUCAUCAAUACGCUCGGUGUGUAGUGUGUGUCGUGAGGAGGUCAUCAAUACGCUCUGUGUGUAAUGUAGUGUGUGUCGUGAGGUCAUCAAUACGCUCUGUGUGUAAUGUAGUGUGUGUUGUGAGGAGGUCAUCAAUACGCUCUGUGUGUAAUGUAGUGUGUGUUGUGAGGUCAUCAAUACGCUCUGUAUGUAAUGUAGUGUGUGUCGUGAGGAGGGCAUCAAUCCGCUCUGUGUGUAAUGUAGUGUCGUGAAGAGGUCAUCAUUAUGCUCGUUGUGUAAUGUGUGUCGUGAGGAGGUCAUCAUUAUGCUCGGUGUGUAAUGUGUGUCGUGAGGUCAUCAAUACGCUCUGUGUGUAAUGUAGUGUGUGUCGUGAGGAGGUCAUCAAUACGCUCUGUGUGUAAUGUAGUGUGUGUCGUGAGGAGGUCAUCAAUAUGCUCGGUGUGUAGUGUGUGUCGUGCGGAGGUCAUCAAUAUGCUCGGUGUGUAAUGUGUGUCGUGAGGAGGUCAUCAAUAUGCUCGGUGUGUAAUGUGUGUCGUGAGGAGGUCAUCAAUAUGCUCAGUGUGUAAUGUGUGUCGUGAGGAGGUCAUCAAUAUGCUCGGUGUGUAAUGUGUGUCGUGAGGAGGUCAUCAAUAUGCUCGGGGUGUAAUGUGUGUCGUGAGGAGGUCAUCAAUACGCUCUGUGUGUAAUGUAGUGUGUGUCAUGAGGAGGUCAUCAAUACGCUCUGUGUGUAAUGUGUGUCGUGAGGAGGUCAUCAAUAUGCUCGGGGUGUAAUGUGUGUCGUGAGGAGGUCAUCAAUAUGCUCGGUGUGUAAUGUGUGUCGUGAGGAGGUCAUCAAUAUGCUCGGUGUGUAAUGUGUGUCGUGAGGAGGUCAUCAAUAUGCUCGGUGUGUAAUGUGUGUCGUGAGGAGGUCAUCAAUAUGCUCUGUGUGUAAUGUAGUGUCGUGAGGAGGUCAUCAUUAUGCUCGGUGUGUAAUGUGUGUCGUGAGGAGGUCAUCAAUAUGCUCGGUGUGUAA